rnacentral:rRNA from 1 species
GACGAACGCUGGCGGCGUGCUUGACACAUGCAAGUCGAGCGGUAAGGCCCUUUCGGGGGUACGACGAGCGGCGAACGGGUAGGAGUAACAACGUGGGUGGACCUCGCCCUCCAGCUCCUGGGAGUAAGACCUCGGGAAACCGGGGUACCGUAAUACUGGAUAUGACUCCACUGACGCAUGUUGUGGGGUGGGAAAGACCUUG